GCUUGUCUCAAAGAUUAAGCCAUGCAUGUUCAAGUAUAGCAAGUGUACAGUGAAACUGCGAAUGGCUCAUUAAAUCAGUUAUAAUUUAUUUGAUAGUGAAAUUGUACAUGGAUAACCGUGGCAAUUCUAGGGCUAAUACAUGCGUCAAUGGUCGGUCGACCAGUAUUUAUUAGAUACAAAACCAAUGCGGGGCAACCCGGUUCUUGGUGAAUCAGAAUAACUGAACGGAUCGCAUGGCCUUGUGCCGGCGAUGAAUCAUUCAAAUUUCUGCCCUAUCAACUUUCGAUGGUAAGGUAUUGGCUUACCAUGGUUACAACGGGUAACGGGGAAUUAGGGUUCGAUUCCGGAGAGGGGGCCUGAGAAAUGGCCACCACUUCCAAGGAAGGCAGCAGG
rnacentral:rRNA from 1 species